rnacentral:piRNA from 1 species
UGGAAUGCUAGCCACUCUGCGGCUAAUCAGU